rnacentral:rRNA from 1 species
AGAGUUUGAUCAUGGCUCAGAUUGAACGCUGGCGGCAGGCCUAACACAUGCAAGUCGAACGGUAACAGGAAACAGCUUGCUGUUUCGCUGACGAGUGGCGGACGGGUGAGUAAUGUCUGGGAAACUGCCUGAUGGAGGGGGAUAACUACUGGAAACGGUAGCUAAUACCGCAUAACGUCGCAAGACCAAAGAGGGGGACCUUCGGGCCUCUUGCCAUCAGAUGUGCCCAGAUGGGAUUAGCUAGUAGGUGGGGUAACGGCUCACCUAGGCGACGAUCCCUAGCUGGUCUGAGAGGAUGACCAGCCACACUGGAACUGAGACACGGUCCGGACUCCUACGGGAGGCAGCAGUGGGGAAUAUUGCACAAUGGGCGCAAGCCUGAUGCAGCCAUGCCGCGUGUAUGAAGAAGGCCUUCGGGUUGUAAAGUACUUUCAGCGGGGAGGAAGGGAGUAAAGUUAAUACCUUUGCUCAUUGACGUUACCCGCAGAAGAAGCACCGGCUAACUCCGUGCCAGCAGCCGCGGUAAUACGGAGGGUGCAGGCGUUAAUCGGAAUUACUGGGCGUAAAGCGCACGCAGGCGGUUUGUUAAGUCAGAUGUGAAAUCCCCGGGCUCAACCUGGGAACUGCAUCUGAUACUGGCAAGCUUGAGUCUCGUAGAGGGGGGUAGAAUUCCAGGUGUAGCGGUGAAAUGCGUAGAGAUCUGGAGGAAUACCGGUGGCGAAGGCGGCCCCCUGGACGAAGACUGACGCUCAGGUGCGAAAGCGUGGGGAGCAAACAGGAUUAGAUACCCUGGUAGUCCACGCCGUAAACGAUGUCGACUUGGAGGUUGUGCCCUUGAGGCGUGGCUUCCGGAGCUAACGCGUUAAGUCGACCGCCUGGGGAGUACGGCCGCAAGGUUAAAACUCAAAUGAAUUGACGGGGGCCCGCACAAGCGGUGGAGCAUGUGGUUUAAUUCGAUGCAACGCGAAGAACCUUACCUGGUCUUGACAUCCACGGAAGUUUUCAGAGAUGAGAAUGUGCCUUCGGGAACCGUGAGACAGGUGCUGCAUGGCUGUCGUCAGCUCGUGUUGUGAAAUGUUGGGUUAAGUCCCGCAACGAGCGCAACCCUUAUCCUUUGUUGCCAGCGGUCCGGCCGGGAACUCAAAGGAGACUGCCAGUGAUAAACUGGAGGAAGGUGGGGAUGACGUCAAGUCAUCAUGGCCCUUACGACCAGGGCUACACACGUGCUACAAUGGCGCAUACAAAGAGAAGCGACCUCGCGAGAGCAAGCGGACCUCAUAAAGUGCGUCGUAGUCCGGAUUGGAGUCUGCAACUCGACUCCAUGAAGUCGGAAUCACUAGUAAUCGUGGAUCAGAAUGCCACGGUGAAUACGUUCCCGGGCCUUGUACACACCGCCCGUCACACCAUGGGAGUGGGUUGCAAAAGAAGUAGGUAGCUUAACCUUCGGGAGGGCGCUUACCACUUUGUGAUUCAUGACUGGGGUGAAGUCGUAACAAGGUAACCGUAGGGGAACCUGCGGUUG